CGGGGUGUAGUUUAGUGGCAGAAUGCGCGGCUGGGGGCCGUGUGGACUGGGUUCGAUUCCCAGCACCCCGA
rnacentral:tRNA from 1 species